AGCGAACGCUGGCGGCAGGCCUAACACAUGCAAGUCGAACGAUCCUUCGGGAUAGUGGCGGACGGGUGAGUAACACGUGGGAACGUGCCUUUUGGUUCGGAACAACUCAGGGAAACUUGAGCUAAUACCGAAUGUGCCCUUCGGGGAAGGAUUUAUCGCCAUUAGAGCGGCCCGCGUCUGAUUAGCUAGUUGGUGAGGUAAAGGCUCACCAAGGCUACGAUCAGUAGCUGGUCNGAGAGGAUGAUCAGCCACAUUGGGACUGAGACACGGCCCAAACUCCUACGGGAGGCAGCAGUGGGGAAUCUUGCGCAAUGGGCGAAAGCCUGACGCAGCCAUGCCGCGUGAAUGAUGAAGGUCUUAGGAUUGUAAAAUUCUUUCACCGGGACGAUAAUGACGGUACCCGGAGAAGAAGCCCCGGCUAACUUCGUGCCAGCAGCCGCUGUAAU
rnacentral:rRNA from 1 species